rnacentral:rRNA from 1 species
GACGAACGCUGGCGGCGUGCUUAACACAUGCAAGUCGAACGAUGAAGCUGGAGCUUGCUCCGGUGGAUUAGUGGCGAACGGGUGAGUAACACGUGAGCAAUCUGCCCUUGACUCUGGGAUAACUGCGGGAAACUGUAGCUAAUACCGGAUACGAGGCUCGAAGGCAUCUUCGGGUCUGGAAAGAAUUUCGGUCAAGGAUGAGCUCGCGGCCUAUCAGCUUGUUGGUGAGGUAAUGGCUCACCAAGGCGACGACGGGUAGCCGGCCUGAGAGGGUGACCGGCCACACUGGGACUGAGACACGGCCCAGACUCCUACGGGGGGCAGCAGUGGGGAAUAUUGCACAAUGGGCGAAAGCCUGAUGCAGCAACGCCGCGUGAGGGAUGAAGGCCUUCGGGUUGUAAACCUCUUUUAGCGGGGAAGAAGCGAAAGUGACGGUACCUGCAGAAAAAGCACCGGCUGACUACGUGCCAGCAGCCGCAGUAA